AUUGAACGCUGGCGGCAGGCCUAACACAUGCAAGUCGAGCGGAGCGGCGGACGGGUGAGUAAUGCCUAGGAAUCUGCCUGGUAGUGGGGGAUAACGUCCGGAAACGGGCGCUAAUACCGCAUACUAUCAGAUGAGCCUAGGUCGGAUUAGCUAGUUGGUGAGGGAAUGGCUCACCAAGGCUACGAUCCGUAACUGGUCCGCGAGGCUGAUCGGUCACACUGGAACGGAGACACGGUCCAGACUCCUACGGGAGGCAGCAGUGGGGAAUAUUGGACAAUGGGCGAAAGCCUGAUCCAGCCAUGCCGCGUGUGUGAAGAAGGUCUUCGGAUUGUAAAGCACUUUAAGUUGGGAGGCGUUACCGACAGAAUAAGCACCGGCUAACUCUGUGCCAGCCGCCGCGGUAAUAC
rnacentral:rRNA from 1 species